rfam:Ipomoea nil DNA, scaffold: scaffold0423, cultivar: Tokyo-kokei standard.
GGGGAUGUAGUUCAGAUGGUAGAGCGCUCGCUUAGCAUGCGAGAGGUACAAGGAUCGAUACCUCGCAUCUCCA